rnacentral:misc_RNA from 1 species
GAUGAAGAACGUAGCGAAAUGCGAUAAGUAAUGUGAAUUGCAGAAUUCAGUGAAUCAUCGAAUCUUUGAACGCACCUUGCGCCCUUUGGCUAUUCUGAAGGGCAUGCCUGUUUGAGUAUCGUGAACACCUCAACUCUCAUGGUCUGCCAUGAUGAGCUUGGACUUUAGGGGUCUUGCUGGCCUACUGUCAGCUCCUCUCAAAUGAAUCAGCUUACCAGUGUUUGGUGGCACCACAGGUGUGAUAACUAUCUACGCUUGUGGUUUUCUGCCAGGUAACCUCCAGUGAUGGAGGUUCGCUGGAGCUCACAAAUGUCUCUCCUCAGCGAGGACAGCUUUUUGAACGUUUGAUCUCAAAUCAGGUAGGACUACCCGCUGAACUUAAGCAUAUCAAUAAGCGGAGGA